rnacentral:rRNA from 1 species
UCGAGAAUAGUCUACAAUGGUCGAAAGACUGAUAGUGCGACGCCGCGUGAACGAAGAAUCCCUUCGGGGUGUAAAGUUCUUUUUUAAUCGAGCAAUGCCUUUUAUGUGAUAAGCAUGAGAGGAGAGAUAUUAGGUUAAGAAUAAGCAACGGCUAACUCCGUGCCAGCAGCCGCGGUAACACGGGGGUUGCAAGCGUUGUCCGGAAUUACUAGGCGUAAAGGGCAGGUAGGCGGAUAUAUAAGUUUUGUGUUAAGGGCAUCGGCUUAACGGGUGUAAGGCAUAGGAUAUUGUAUAGAUGGAAUGCGGUUGAGGAAGACAGAAGUGCUGGUGUAGCGGUGGAAUGCGAAGAGAUCAGGAGGAAUACCAAAGGCGAAGGCAGUCUUCUAAGCCGAUAUUGACGCUAAACUGCGAAGGUGUGGGUAUCAAACA